GCCCGGCUAGCUCAGUCGGUAGAG
rnacentral:piRNA from 11 species